CGCGUAGGCUGUCCCGCAAGUCCUUCGUGAAAUCCCACAGCUCAACUGUGGAAUUGCGAGGGAAACUGCAGGACUUGAGUCCGGGAGAGGAGAGUGGAAUUCCCAGUGUAGCGGUGAAAUGCGUAGAUAUUGGGAGGAACACCGGUGGCGAAGGCGGCUCUCUGGACCGGUACUGACGCUGAGGCGCGAAAGCUAGGGGAGCAAACG
rnacentral:rRNA from 1 species